UUUAUAUUUUUGAACAUUAAAAACAAUGGAUGCAUGGUACCCCGCAAUAUAGAGACUGACAGCACUUGUAAAAUGCAGUAAAUAUCACUGAGACAAAUAAUAAGAAUGUCAGAGGGAAGAAGAAAUGAAGCCAAGUGCUAAUAAGUACAAUAUAGCUUAAAUUAAAAGAUUAACAGGAGAAAAUUUUCAAAUGAUAAUUUUCUAGGAAAAGGAGAUAACUCAGUUUUUGUCAGGUUAAUUUACAAAGUGAUGGGCUUGAGUGAAAAAAAAUACCAAAUUCAAGGGGCAGAAAAACCCAGUGAUUAAGUCCACAAAUCCUAGGUUAAAAACACCUGGGCUGUAAUUCUAGAUCUGCUACCUAUUUAUCAGAAGUGUAACCUUGAACAGCACACUCAACUCCUCUUAACCUCAUUUUUCUGUACAAUAGAAAUGACAAUAAUAGUACCCCAUAGACUUAAAGAAUCAAAAGUGUAUGUGCAUGCCUGUGUGUGGCUGGGAGCGUGGAAGAGCAUCUGGAGAAAGAGCACUCAGAAUAGCAUUUGGUCCAAAGUAGCUAUUAUGGUCGAAUGUAACAGUUUACUGUUAUUAGAACUAGGGUAAUAUUCUACAUAAUUAUACUUUCUCUUAUGUCUUAUUAUAUAAAGGUGCAUCAUUUCUUGGCACUACUCUAUUACAGUGUCUGCACAGUUUGGAGUAACCUUCCUGGAAAAUACAUAUUUAUGUAACAUAUGAAUUCCUCAUCCCAUGUUUUACUAAAUGAGUGAGCCCUUUUCCAGAAAUGUAAAAUUGAUAGGAUUGCUUCUGGGGUUUACUUGAGCUGAACACAAGUACACUCAGAAGCAGAGGCUAAAACAUACAGCAGGUCCUUGGUCAUUUUGUUUAACGUUAUUUUGUUAUAACACUGAUGGAAAAAAUCGAUUUCCAGCAGAGGCCAAUGUCUAUGUGGAAUUGGCACGUUCUUUCCAUGUCUAUGUGGGUCUUCUCUGGGUACUCCCGUUUCCCUCCACUUCUCAACUCUCUGUGUGUUGGGUGAAUUGGCAUGUCUACAUAGGCCCUGCUUGAGUGAUUGUGGUUGGGUAUGUGAGCGCGCCCUGCGGUAGGAUGGCUUCCUGAAGAGAGCUGGUUUACACCUCAUGCCCUGAGCUCCUGGUGUAGGAUCUGGCCACCUGUGAUCCUGAACUGGAGUAAGGAGUUUUCAAUAACCUAUGGACACCGUUGAGGACUCAUUGAAUGUGGCUAUAAGUGUGGUCAAGUAAUGAAAACUGAUCAGCUGAGGGAGGAAAAAGACAAAAGUGGAUGACCAAAAUGAAGCUCCAGAAUCUUUCGAGGACUGCCUAUGUUUCCUGUUUUGGAUUAGGAAAAUGUGGCACAUAUACACCAUGGAAUACUACACAGCCAUAAAAAAUGAUGAGUUCAUGUCCUUUGUAGGGACAUGGAUGAAACUGGAAACCAUCAUUCUCAGCGAACUAUCGCAAGGAUAAAAAACCAAACACCGCAUGUUCUCACUCAUAGGUGGGAACCGAACAAUGAGAACACGUGGACACAGGAAGGGGAACAUCACACUCCGGGGACUGUUGUGGGGUGGGGGUAGGGGGGAGGGAUAGCCUUAGGAGAUAUACCUAAUGCUAAUGAUGAGUUAAUGGGUGCAGCACACCAACAUGGCACAUGUAUACAUAUGUAACAAACCUGCACAUUGUGCACAUGUACCCUAAAACUUAAAGUAUAAUAAUAAUAAAAUGUAAAAAAUUAAUUAAUUAAUUAAAAAAUAAACAACAAAUUUAAAAAAAAAAAAGAGAUACCCCCAAUACACUGCCUAUAAAUUAAGGUUAAGUGACUUUGAAUUUGUUUUGCUGUUGUUGUUUAUAAACAAAAGAAUAUUGUCUAAAACCUGUUUGAAAAUAUAAACUGUAUAAAUUAUUAAA